GUGGCCCGACUCCACGCUCAGCCCGACCAACAGUUGGAUCUCGCCAACAGCAAAUGUCGUCCUGCCAGUGCCAUACUUACCACGUGGCAACGAAGAAAAAACCGGCUUGCCACGUCAGAGUCUUGGCGAAUUGGGACUGUGGGUCCCAGGUGAUCUCAACUAGGGAGUCCGAUUUGCUGACAGCGACCAAUAGAAAGACAUGCUGCACCACCACGGCGGCCGCCAGCGCAGCAAAAGCCGCGGUGGCGGAAAGGAGGGGCAGUUUUCCAGUGCCCGUGUAAGUGCACUGGGAAUCGCGCCAUUUGGCCUGAGAGCGUGCGGCCUCGGCUAUGAGGCAGAGGAUGAAGCAGAAGAGGCCGAGUAAUAUGGAUAGAACCAUGAGAAAGGCGCCGGUUUUGCUGCCGAGGUUGGUGGUUUUGGGUGUGGGAGAGAGAUCAGCGUGCGUCACCGCCAUUUUCGGAGUCGGGGCUCGUUCUUUGCUGUGAGAAGGAACAAUUUGAUGAUCAUCUUUUGGAUUUUGGAGAAAGGUUUUUAGGAUUGCUUGGAGGAAAGGUUCCUUAAAGGUUAGACAUUCCAAUAUUCUUGUUCUUUAAUUUCUCUCGUGUCUCAAUAUUUUCGAUAAAGUAGUUCAUAUUUACAUGACUUGCAUUUUGAUUUUAAAGAAUUAACUCAUGUAGUAUUCGAAUAUGGAUUUCGUGAUUUAAUAUAGUAGUUUUUAACUUUAUACCAUUGAUUAUAUUCGACUAAUCUUCGUAGAUUA